rnacentral:rRNA from 1 species
GCACAAGCGGUGGAGUAUGUGGUUUAAUUCGAUGCAACGCGAAGAACCUUACCUGGUCUUGACAUCCCGGAGACCCUUAGGAAACUAGGGGGUGCUUCCAUCUGGAAGAAUCUGGAGACAGGUGCUGCAUGGCUGUCGUCAGCUCGUGUCGUGAGAUGUUGGGUUAAGUCCCGCAACGAGCGCAACCCUUGCCUUUAGUUGCCAGCAGUUCGGCUGGGCACUCUAAAGGGACUGCCGGUGUUAAACCGGAGGAAGUGGGGAUGACGUCAAGUCCUCAUGGCCUUUAUGACCAGGGCUACACACGUACUACAAUGGCCGAUACAAAGGGCAGCGACACUGCGAGGUGAAGCCAAUCCCGUAAAAUCGGUCUCAGUCCGGAUUGGAGUCUGCAACUCGACUCCAUGAAGUUGGAAUCGCUAGUAAUCGUGGAUCAGCAUGCCACGGUGAAUACGUUCCCGGGCCUU